GGUGUAUUCAAUUAAGAGUCUAUUGGAUUUUUUUGUAUUUUAAAAAUCCUUUAAAAUCUUGUGGUAUUCAAUUAAGAUUUUGAAAAGUCCUUUAAAAUCUUAUGGUAUUCAAUUUAGAUUUUAAAAAGUCAUUCCAAAUCUGGUGGUAUUCAAAAGUCAGAAGAUUUUCAAGGAUUUUAUUAGAUGCUUGAUUGUGUAGGAUUCUAGGGUGCUUGGUAUAAAUACCAAACCCUAUUAGAAAUCCGCUCUCUAGACGUGAGAUUUUGACGUCUUUUGUUUUUUGCUCUCUUUCUUCAUUCUGAAGAUGAAAGGGCCUCAAUGUAGAAGACGAACUGACCUCAAACUUUCUCUAUUCUCUACGAACCAAGGAUGCUAGGAGAAUGAUGUGGAUCAUAACGUUUACAAGAGAAAAGUUCUGCUCAUUGUCAAAGUUGCUUCCAAAUGUGGACUAACAAACUCAAACUACACGGAGCUGAAUCAACUAUAUGAAAAGUAUAAAGAUCAAGGUUUGAAUUUUGAACUACUAUUGUUCUUUGAUGCCUAUCAUUUUGAGGACCGUUGAACUGUAGUAUGGUAACUAGUAUAGGAAGUGUAUUCUUGAGGUGACACCAUCGAAUUUUUUACUUUUAUCAUGUGGGUUGCGCUCUCUAGAAUGUGCAAAACUGUUGUGCUGCUUGUUUAAAUUUCAUAUAAAUUUUCACUGUUUUGCAUAUGGAAUAGUCUUAUUUUAUUAGAGAAACAAUAAUCCUUCCAGUGUAAAUCAGAAAUCUCAUUUUCAAAUGUAUUAUAUCUAGUAUUCUAGUUCAAAA